rnacentral:rRNA from 1 species
CAGUAGCCGCGGUAAUACGUAGGGUGCAAGCGUUAAUCGGAAUUACUGGGCGUAAAGCGUGCGCAGGCGGUUAUAUAAGUCAGAUGUGAAAUCCCCGGGCUCAACCUGGGAACUGCAUUUGAGACUGUAUGGCUAGAGUGUGUCAGAGGGGGGUAGAAUUCCACGUGUAGCAGUGAAACGCGUAGAUAUGUGGAGGAAUACCGAUGGCGAAGGCAGCCCCCUGGGAUAACACUGACGCUCAUGCACGAAAGCGUGGGGAGCAAAUGGGAUUAGAUACCCCCGUAGUCCCUGUCUCUUAUAA